CGUGGAUCGAUUUGUCUGGUUUAUUCCGAUAACGAGCGAGACUCUAGCCUACUAAAUAGUAACGGGAUUAUCAUUGUCCCGGUUGCUUCUUAGAGGGAUUUUCGGUGUUUAGCCGCACGAGAUUGAGCAAUAACAGGUCUGUGAUGCCCUUAGAUGUCCGGGGCUGCACGCGCGCUACACUGGCGAAAUCAGCGUGCUGUAUCCAUUCUCGAAAGGGAUUGGUAAACCCAUGAAAAUUUGCCGUGCUUGGGAUCGGAAAUUGCAAUUAUUUUCCGUGAACGAGGAAUUCCAAGUAAGUGCGAGUCAUCAACUCGCUCUGAAUACGUCCCUGCCCUUUGUAC
rnacentral:rRNA from 1 species